rnacentral:rRNA from 1 species
GAUGAACGCUGGCGGCGUGCCUAAUACAUGCAAGUCGAGCGAACGGACGAGAAGCUUGCUUCUCUGAUGUUAGCGGCGGACGGGUGAGUAACACGUGGAUAACCUACCUAUAAGACUGGGAUAACUUCGGGAAACCGGAGCUAAUACCGGAUAAUAUUUUGAACCGCAUGGUUCAAAAGUGAAAGACGGUCUUGCUGUCACUUAUAGAUGGAUCCGCGCUGCAUUAGCUAGUUGGUAAGGUAACGGCUUACCAAGGCAACGAUGCAUAGCCGACCUGAGAGGGGGAUCGGCCACCCUGGAACUGAGACACGGUCCAGACUCCUACGGGAGGCAGCAGUAGGGAAUCUUCCGCAAUGGGCGAAAGCCUUACGGAGCAACGCCGCGUGAGUGAUGAAGGUCUUCGGAUCGUAAAACUCUGUUAUGAGGGAAGAACAUAUGUGUAAGUAACUGUGCACAUCUUGACGGUAACUAAUCAGAAAGCCACGGCUAACUACGUG